GCCACGAUCGCCUAAUCCGGUAGGGCGGCAGUCUCGAAAACUGCUUUGCUUCGGCAUCUCUCGGUUCAAAUCCGAGUCGUGGCG
rnacentral:tRNA from 1 species